GAGAGUUGUGGUGGGACAGAUGUGAAGGGGAAAGAUUUGCAGAAGGGAAGGAAGGUCGGAGCAAGGGGAGCCAAUAGCAGGGCCCAGGAAGUUUAAGAGGAAUGAAGAGAGUGAGUUGGGGAUUUAGUACUAGGUGGGUAAGGAUGAGAAAUGAGAACGAGUGCUUAAAGGUCAAAGGUCAGGAGUUUUGCUUUAUAUGGAGAGGAAUGGAUUUUGACCAGGGACUCCAUCCAAUUUGACCAUCUUGUAUCUACCCCAGCACUUGGUACAGCACUUGGUACACGACAAUAUUGAACAACAGUGGCCCAGCUGGAGGCAGAGGGCAUGGAGGAAGGAACAUCUUGACAUCAACUCUGGCCAAGCCAGCCAAGAAAGAGCCUCAUCUUUAACAAUAGAAGAUGUGUUGACAAGAAUAUUGAAAAAUUUUUGCCUUGUCUGCCGAAUUCCCUCCAUGUCUGCAUG